rnacentral:tRNA from 2 species
AUUCUCUUAGUAUAAACAGUACAAUUGACUUCCAAUCAGUUAGAUCUAGCAAACUCUAGAAGAGAAUA